UGUGCUGUGGCUCAAGUGGUAGAGCGCUAGCCUUGCAUGCAUGAGGCCCUGGGUUCAAUUCCUCAGCACCA
rnacentral:tRNA from 1 species